AUGGAGAAAAGGAUCCUCUUUACAUUUGAUCCUUUUUUCUCACCCAUUUUUAAUACCCCUUUGUUUUAUUGCACAGUAUAAACCAAACCUGCCAUGGGAAUAGGUCGUUUUAACGAAUACAUUGCAAGGAGAUUCUGUAGAAGGACAUGUGUAUUGACUGAGCAGCUCCCACAGUGUUUGGUCAUUUGCACGUCCAGUACAAUCUGUGAAAGACACAUUUGGGAUGUUUUUUGUCAAACAGCCAGGAAGUAGCUAUGUGUUUUCUUUAGAAAAAAAACUGGAAUAGUGAGUUGGAGAGAGGAGAAAAAUAAGUGGUAGGCCUUGCUCAGUUUAUUGCUUAUAUACCAAACAAAGAAUCCUGGAAGCCUGCGCGCGAUCAAUCUUACUUGCUAAAAGGUCUGACAGCUCCGUGCCCUCAGAACACAUUUAAGGCUUCUAACUCUCCCCUGGAUCAAAUGCAGCCAGGAAGCGGGAAGAAACACUGGCCACUCAGAUUAGAACACGUUUCUGUUUGCAAUCACAGCUUUUCUGUCGCUUAAAGGGUGUUUUAAGACAUUAAAAGUACAAGGAAAAUGUAGCAGAUGGGCGAUAAUGCGCGGAGCGAUACUGCAGAAGAUCCUCGUGAAACGUGUGUUAUUAUGGAUGUGCCCAUGCGGAGGAGGAGCGGAACGAGGCCACCGCAAGAGCUUCUGAGUUGCCCACGCGCUAGAGGAGACAAAACAAGAGGCCUACAAUGUUUUCGUGAUUUAUUGUCACUACAAAUUAAAUACGAUGUUAUAGAUUAUGAAUGGUAUUACAGAUGAUGAGAAAAUGGGGAUACUGUUGUUUUUAUGAAAUAGCCUACCCUCUAAAGUCCUACCAGUUUUUGUCUACCUCACAAAUGAGGCUAUUUAUGGGAUAUUAAGGUGUUUAUUACUACUAUUAUUCUUAUUAUUAUUCCUUCCUUAUUGUAGUUUGUGCCGUUGUGUUCUACGUUCAAAUUCCCUCCAAAUUAAGGAUGAAAGAUACAUUUCUAUUGAAAACCAUUUCUUUAUUUAUCCGAACUGCAGCAGGAUGGAAUGUAUGACAUUGAAACAGAAACUUGGUAAUAUCUUAAAUAUUUUUUUUUUGCAAUAAAAACAAUUAUAAUGUCUGUC